UCGGAAUAUUGGGCGUAAAGAGCUCGUAGGCGGUUUGUCGCGUCUGCUGUGAAAUCUGGGGGCUCAACCCCCAGCCUGCAGUGGGUACGGGCAGACUAGAGUGCGGUAGGGGAGAUUGGAAUUCCUGGUGUAGCGGUGGAAUGCGCAGAUAUCAGGAGGAACACCGAUGGCGAAGGCAGAUCUCUGGGCCGUAACUGACGCUGAGGAGCGAAAGCAUGGGGAGCGAACAGGAUUAGAUACCCUGGUAGUCCAUGCCGUAAACGUUGGGAACUAGAUGUGGGGGCCAUUCCACGGUCUCCGUGUCGCAGCUAACGCAUUAAGUUCCCCGCCUGGGGAGUACGGCCGCAAGGCUAAAACUCAAAGGAAUUGACGGGGGCCCGCACAAGCGGCGGAGCAUGCGGAUUAAUUCGAUGCAACGCGAAGAACCUUACCAAGGCUUGACAUAUACCGGAAACGUCCAGAGAUGGUCGCCCCGCAAGGUCGGUAUACAGGUGGUGCAUGGUUGUCGUC
rnacentral:rRNA from 1 species